UCAAAAAGCAUUGCACCCAGAGUCUGGCCUGCCAGACACUGUACCUGGAGCUUUUUUUUUAAAUAAUUAAAUGUUUU